GUUCGGUGGAAACGAGAAUAAAACGUGAAGGAUAACGUUGCGUCAGCAACGGCCCGUAGGGCGAGGUGAAGCCGAGUCAUCCUGCACGACCCACCA
rnacentral:sRNA from 1 species